rnacentral:rRNA from 1 species
GAUCCUGGCUCAGGAUGAACGCUAGCGGCAGGCUUAACACAUGCAAGUCGAGGGGCAGCAUAAUGGAUAGCAAUAUCUAUGGUGGCGACCGGCGCACGGGUGCGUAACGCGUAUGCAACCUACCUUUAACAGGGGGAUAACACUGAGAAAUUGGUACUAAUACCCCAUAACAUCAUGAAAGGCAUCUUUUAUGGUUGAAAAUUCCGAUGGUUAGAGAUGGGCAUGCGUUGUA